AAAUCUUCAUAAAUGUGUUCAAUUAUAAACCUACAAAUGAACGCCCAACUUCCGCUCGACAGGUGAAGCCCGUGACGUCACCGACUCGGAAAGUGCGAGGAACUGCUUCAUGAAAACAAAAAAUAAUUCGCCGUUUUGUUUAACUCUUAGAAACAAUCUUGCGUAAUAUACGGCAACGAUAUGUGUGGUUUCGAUAAGGAGAAGGGCCCGGGGCGUCUGAUGAAGAAGGGGUUUACUCUGAUCCUGGUGGGUCACAUUAACUUCAUUCUGGGAGCCAUCAUCCACGGCAGCAUCCUGCGCCACAUCUCUAAACCCAACGACCAGAUCACCACCGAGUUCACCGCCGCCAACAUCAUCUCCGUCACCUCCGGACUGCUGAGCAUUGCAACAGGAAUCAUUGCCAUAUUGGUGUCAAGAAAUCUGUCAGUUUGGAAGCUGCACAUAGGUCUUCUGAUUAGUUCCUUCCUGAAUGCCCUACUCUCUGCAGCCUGUGGCAUUAGCCUCACCAUUGCCAACGAGGGAGGGGCCUCAUGUUGGGCUGCAACUUCACUGACUUGCCAAUCAACGCCCGCUCGCCAGUCAAAGCAGACUGCCCCUUUGACACCACACGGAUUUAUGACACUGCCCUGUCUCUGUGGUUCCCAUGUGUACUUCUGGCUGGACUGGAAACAGGACUUUCUAUCUGGUGCUUCGUAGUGGGACUGGUACUGAGGGGUCUAGGACCCUGCUCUCACACAUACCUCAAAGAACAGCUGGAGGAGGAGGCUCUAACUAAUAGGGCAGAUCCAGAGUACUCACUCCAGGUCCGGAGCCUGAUUGGUCAACACUACGCAUAGAGGACUGCCACAGACCGGGAGUGUUUGAUGACGAAGGUGUGACUGAGCCUCUUCGUCUUCAGAGAACCUCCCUGGUGCCUUUACCUCCAUUCAUACCAAAGACUCUCCUCUCCCUCAACGUGAUAGGCUAGCUAGACUGCUGGAUGACAUUGUCUCCGUGUCUGCCUCAGAAUGUCUGUCCUCCCCUCGAUCCGCCAACAUUUCACAAAUGCAAAAUUACAAACGCCUGUAGUGUAGAGAUUAUUUAUGGAUCAAUAUCUUCGUUAUAGUAUUUUAAAUAAUUGCAUUUAAUCACAUUUUGCAUUUAUCAUGCUUCAUGCUUUUUCAUUUUCUGCACAUGUUAUUUCCUCCUUUUAACAGCAACACACUGUUAUAUACCUCGUUAAAUUUAACGACUAACUCUCAGCUAAGCCAAAGAUGUUGUUUUAUGACUACUCUUGUAUUUAACUACCAAUCUCAGCCAAAGAUGUUUUAUUGUCAUGUGUGUUUUUGUAACCUGAUUAUGUCUACCUGCCUGAUCUACCAGGCCUCGAUGCACUCCAUAGUGUUUACUACUCUGUUAUUUCCUGGCUUGAAUGUAUACUGUGGGGAUAUGGGAAUAUAAUGCCUGAGAGGGGCUCUGAGGGUUCAUCUCAAAUUCCUAGAAACAAAUCUCCCACAUUGCAGUUUUCUCCCAAUUUUAUUUCUCCUGCAGGUGCAUAUAGAAGAAGGGGAACAGGGAGAGCUGAACCACUUUAGUGUACUGAGACGCACACUGAAAUUUUGACUGAAACCCAAUGCAGCAGAGCAGCCCCUGGGGGCCGGGGUGCAUGAGUGGUCAGGUAGACACCAGUAUGUAGGUCAUACAGGUGUAGCUGGGAUGGGCUCACAUUCCCCGACACCAGGCAGAAGUGAUCAGUUUAGUGCUGAAACUGUUAAUCUGGUGCUGGGUUAAAUCAAGCGGGUCGUAAUCUUUGCACACAACGCUAAUCCCCCGAUCUGAGGGGUGAAUCAAUAUUGAUAUAAGGAGGUGACUGACCCUGUCCCAACCAAGGUUGUUUUUUAUGCGUGGCCAGCUGAAUGUUGUUCCUCCAGGGCUGCCAUAUGUUGUACUGUGGUACUACUACUUUAGUGGGUGUCCACUAGCUUCCAUAGCCACAAAGUCAUAUUCCACAGUCACAAAGUUGUAAUUUGCUACAAAAACAAGCUUUUUGGUUUUAAUUUAAGGUUAGCAGUGUGGUUAAGUUCAGGGCUAAGGUUAGGUUUAAAAUGGCAUUUUAAGACUUUAAUUGUAGAAAUGGGUGGGGUGUAUGCCUUUGUGGUAACUAGUGUCGACCACUUUGGAGGGAUAAACUAGUGUAGGCUACUCAUUAGAAUGAGCUGGAUUUCACUGAGUUUAAACCCUGGUGGUCACUGGAAUGUGGUCCAAUAACAUUUUAUGUGUAAAUUUUUUAUUCAGGAAGUCAGUUGAACUUCCUGAAUUGAUCCUGACCAUGAUCUCAAUCUACAUUUCAUGCAUGGUGUGUUUUGGUUGCCUGCAGUAUGUUUUUUUACAUGAAGUUGCAUGUGUUUAGUUGAUUUUAUAUUUAAGGACUGCACCGAUCAAUGUGUUCAACGUUUUUAUAUGGAAUAAUUUUCUUCAAAUAAAUGUUAACUCUUUGAUUUAUCA